GUGCCAGCAGCCGCGGUAAUACAGACCGUGCAAGCGUUAAUCGGAUUUACUGGGCGUAAAGCGCGCGUAGGUGGCCAAAUAAGUCAAAUGUGAAAUCCGCGGGCUUAACCUGCGAACUGCAUCUGAUACUGUUGGGCUAGAGUAGGUGAGAGGGAGGUAGAAUUCCAGGUGUAGCGGAGAAAUGCGUAGAGACCUGAAGGAAUACCCAUGGCGAAGGCAGCCCCCUGGCAUCAUACUGACACUGAGGUUCGAAAGCGUGGGUAGCAAACAGGAUUAGAAACCCCGGUAGUCC
rnacentral:rRNA from 1 species